AUUGAACGCUGGCGGCAUGCCUUACACAUGCAAGUCGAACGGUAACGGGCCUUCGGGUGCCGACGAGUGGCGAACGGGUGAGUAAUGCAUCGGAACGUACCUUUCAGUGGGGGAUAACGUAGCGAAAGUUACGCUAAUACCGCAUAUUCUGUGAGCAGGAAAGCAGGGGAUCGCAAGACCUUGCGCUGAUUGAGCGGCCGAUGUCAGAUUAGCUAGUUGGUGAGGCAAAGGCUCACCAAGGCGACGAUCUGUAGCGGGUCUGAGAGGAUGAUCCGCCACACUGGGACUGAGACCCGGCCCAGACCCCUACGGGAGGCAGCAGUGGGGAAUUUUGGACAAUGGGGGCAACCCUGAUCCAGCCAUGCCGCGUGAGUGAAGAAGGCCUUCGGGUUGUAAAGCUCUUUCGGCCGGGAAGAAAUCGCACAGGCUAAUACCUUGUGUGGAUGACGGUACCGGAAUAAGAAGCACCGGCUAACUACGUGCCAGCCGCCGCGGUAACAC
rnacentral:rRNA from 1 species